rnacentral:rRNA from 1 species
AUUGAACGCUGGCGGCAGGCUUAACACAUGCAAGUCGAGCGAGCGGCGGACGGGUGUGUAAUGUCUGGGAAACUGCCUGAUGGAGGGGGUUAACUACUGGAAACGGUAGCUAAUACCGCAUACCAUCAGAUGUGCCCAGAUGGGAUUAGCUAGUAGGUGGGGUAAGGGCUCACCUGGGCGACGAUCCCUAGCUGGGCUGCGAGGAUGACCAGCCACACUGGAACUGAGACACGGUCCAGACGCCGACGGGAGGAAGCAGGGGGGAAGAGGGGACAAUGGGAGAAAGCCUGAUGGAGCCAUGCCGCGUGUGUGAAGAAGGCCUUAGGGUUGUAAAGCACUUACAGCGAGGAGGGGUUACUCGCAGAAGAAGCACCGGCUAACUCCGUGCCAGCAGCCGCGGUAAUAC